UACGUAGGGCGCAAGCGUUGUCCGGAUUCAUUGGGCGUAAAGAGCUCGUAGGCGGCUUGGUAAGUCGGAUGUGAAACCUCCAGGCUCAACCUGGAGUCGCCAUCCGAUACUGCCAUGGCUAGAGUCCGGUAGGGGCCCACGGAACUCCUGGUGUAGCGGUGAAAUGCGCAGAUAUCAGGAAGAACACCGGUGGCGAAGGCGGUGGGCUGGGCCGGCACUGACGCUGAGGAGCGAAAGCGUGGGGAGCGAACAGG
rnacentral:rRNA from 1 species